rnacentral:rRNA from 1 species
GACGAACGCUGGCGGCGUGCCUAAUACAUGCAAGUAGAACGCUGAAGAGAGGAGCUUGCUCUUCUUGGAUGAGUUGCGAACGGGUGAGUAACGCGUAGGUAACCUGCCUGGUAGCGGGGGAUAACUAUUGGAAACGAUAGCUAAUACCGCAUAAAAUUGAUUAUUGCAUGAUAAUUAAUUGAAAGAUGCAACUGCAUCACUACCAGAUGGACCUGCGUUGUAUUAGCUAGUUGGUGAGGUAACGGCUCACCAAGGCGACGAUACAUAGCCGACCUGAGAGGGUGAUCGGCCACACUGGGACUGAGACACGGCCCAGACUCCUACGGGAGGCAGCAGUAGGGAAUCUUCGGCAAUGGGGGGAACCCUGACCGAGCAACGCCGCGUGAGUGAAGAAGGUUUUCGGAUCGUAAAGCUCUGUUGUAAGAGAAGAACGGGUGUGAGAGUGGAAAGUUCACACUGUGACGGUAUCUUACCAGAAAGGGACGGCUAACUACGUGCCAGCAGCCGCGGUAAUACGUAGGUCCCGAGCGUUGUCCGGAUUUAUUGGGCGUAAAGCGAGCGCAGGCGGUUAGAUAAGUCUGAAGUUAAAGGCUGUGGCUUAACCAUAGUAUGCUUUGGAAACUGUUUAACUUGAGUGCAGAAGGGGAGAGUGGAAUUCCAUGUGUAGCGGUGAAAUGCGUAGAUAUAUGGAGGAACACCGGUGGCGAAAGCGGCUCUCUGGUCUGUAACUGACGCUGAGGCUCGAAAGCGUGGGGAGCAAACAGGAUUAGAUACCCUGGUAGUCCACGCCGUAAACGAUGAGUGCUAGGUGUUAGGCCCUUUCCGGGGCUUAGUGCCGCAGCUAACGCAUUAAGCACUCCGCCUGGGGAGUACGACCGCAAGGUUGAAACUCAAAGGAAUUGACGGGGGCCCGCACAAGCGGUGGAGCAUGCGGUUUAAUUCGAAGCAACGCGAAGAACCUUACCAGGUCUUGACAUCCCUCUGACCGCUCUAGAGAUAGAGUUUUCCUUCGGGACAGAGGUGACAGGUGGUGCAUGGUUGUCGUCAGCUCGUGUCGUGAGAUGUUGGGUUAAGUCCCGCAACGAGCGCAACCCCUAUUGUUAGUUGCCAUCAUUCAGUUGGGCACUCUAGCGAGACUGCCGGUAAUAAACCGGAGGAAGGUGGGGAUGACGUCAAAUCAUCAUGCCCCUUAUGACCUGGGCUACACACGUGCUACAAUGGCUGGUACAACGAGUCGCAAGCCGGUGACGGCAAGCUAAUCUCUGAAAGCCAGUCUCAGUUCGGAUUGUAGGCUGCAACUCGCCUACAUGAAGUCGGAAUCGCUAGUAAUCGCGGAUCAGCACGCCGCGGUGAAUACGUUCCCGGGCCU